rnacentral:tRNA from 1 species
GAUCCGAUAAUUCAGUUGGUAGAAUGCUUGACUGUUAAUUAAGUUGUCGUAGGUUCAAGUCCUACUCGGAUCG